UACGUAGGGUGCGAGCGUUGCCCGGAUUUAUUGGGCGUAAAGGGCGCGUAGGCGGCUCGGCACGUCCGUUGUGAAAUCGCCCGGCUCAACUGGGCGGGGUCGGCGGAUACGGCCGAGCUGGAGCAAGCUAGGGGGUAAGUGGAAUUCCCGGUGUAGUGGUGGAAUGCGUAGAUAUCGGGAGGAACACCAGUGGCGAAGGCGG
rnacentral:rRNA from 1 species